GGUCGGUUUGGCCGGAUUUCACACAGGUGUUGCAUGGCUGUCGUCAGCUCGUGUCGUGAGAUGUUGGGCUAAGUCCCGCAACGAGCGCAACCCUCAUCCUUAGUUACCAUCAGGUUAUGCUGGGGACUUUAAGGAAACUGCCAGUGAUAAACUGGAGGAAGGUGGGGAUGAUGUCAAGUCAUCAUGGCCCUUAUGGAGUGGGCUACACACGUGCUACAAUGGUGAUUACUAUGGGCUGCAAGGUCGCAAGGCUGAUCUAAUCCUAAAAAAUCAUCUCAGUUCGGAUUGUUCUCUGCAACUCGAGAGCAUGAAGUUGGAAUCGCUAGUAAUCGUGGAUCAGCAUGCCACGGUGAAUACGUUCUCGGGUCUUGUACACACUGCCCGUCACGCCAUGGGAAUUGGUUUCACUCCAAGCU
rnacentral:rRNA from 1 species